rnacentral:rRNA from 1 species
UAGGGAAUCUUCCGCAAUGGACGCAAGUCUGACGGAGCAACGCCGCGUGAGUGAAGAAGGAUUUCGGUUCGUAAAACUCUGUUGUUAGAGAAGAACAGCGCAUAGAGUAACUGUUAUGCGUGUGACGUUACUUAACCAGAAAGGGACGGCUAACUACGUGCCAGCAGCCGCGGUAAUACGUAGGUCCCGAGCGUUGUCCGGAUUUAUUGGGCGUAAAGCGAGCGCAGGCGGUUAGAUAAGUCUGAAGUUAAAGGCAGUGGCUCAACCAUUGUAGGCUUUGGAAACUGUUUAACUUGAGUGCAGAAGGGGAGAGUGGAAUUCCAUGUGUAGCGGUGAAAUGCGUAGAUAUAUGGAGGAACACCGGUGGCGAAAGCGGCUCUCUGGUCUGUAACUGACGCUGAGGCUCGAAAGCGUGGGGAGCGAACAGG